rnacentral:tRNA from 1 species
GGAGACGUGGCCGAGUGGUCGAAGGCACACCCCUGCUAAGGGUGCAUACCGGCAACGGUAUCGAGGGUUCGAAUCCCUUCGUCUCCGCCA